rnacentral:rRNA from 1 species
GACUAACGCUGGCGGCGUGCCUAACACAUGCAAGUCGAACGAGUUGUUUAUAGUAGCAAUAUUACAAACAGCAAGUGGCGAACGGGUGAGUAACACGUAGAUAAUCUGCCUUUCAGACGGGGACAACUCAGGGAAACUUGUGCUAAUACCCGAUGAGACUACGGGAGGGGACUUCUGUAGCCAAAAGUGGGGGCAACCUCACGCUGAAAGAUGAGUCUGCGUCCUAUCAGCUAGUUGGUGGGGUAAAAGCCUACCAAGGCGAAGACGGGUAGCCGGCCUGAUAGGGUGAACGGCCACACUGGGACUGAGACACGGCCCAGACUCCUACGGGUGGCAG